GUAGGUAACCUUCUUUGGGCAGCCAGCCAAGCAAUAAAUUUAUGUCGAGGCAGGACAUUUGUAACUAAAAGUAAAUUCCUCCAGUUGACUCUAUCAAACCUAGGGAGCAUACCAAUAUACAUUUUCUGGAUUUGAAAUUUGUCGAGGCAACAUACAGCCUUGAACCUGUCAGCAAGUGAACCUUGCAGCUGCUGGUUUGCCA
rnacentral:lncRNA from 1 species